rnacentral:rRNA from 1 species
GUGGGGAAUAUUGGACAAUGGGCGCAAGCCUGAUCCAGCCAUGCCGCGUGAGUGAUGAAGGCCUUCGGGUUGUGAAGCUCUUUAGUCCACGAAUAUAAUGACUGCAGUGGAAGAAUAAGCCCCGGCUAACUUCGUGCCAGCAGCCGCGGUAAUACGAAGGGGGCGAGCGUUAUUCGGAAUCACUGGGCGUAAAGCGUGCGUAGGCUGUUUUGUAAGUCAGAAGUGAAAGCCCAGGGCUUAACCCUGGAAUUGCUUUUGAAACUACAAGACUCGAAUUCGGGAGAGGAUAGCGGAAUUGUCAGUGUAGCAGUGAAAUGCGUAGAUAUUGACAGGAACACCAGUGGCGCAAGCGGCUAUCUGGACCGAUAUUGACGCUGAGGCACGAAAGCGUGGGGAGCAAACAGGAUUAGAAACCCCGGUAGUCC